AAACGUAAAAGCAUAGAAAAAUUGCCCAAUCAGAAUUCUUCGAAUUGCCUGCCCUAUCCAAAAAACAUCAUCUCCUUUUUGAUGGUUUCAAUUCUCAAGAAAGCUUGUUCUUCAAAAAACUAUUCAUCUGCUAUGUGAAACUUUCCUUUUCUCCGGCCAAUUUCAGUCUGGUUCUCACAUCCAGUCAGCUUUCUUUUGUUUUUCGGCAUACCUAGGGACGUUCUUUAGCAGGUAAAACUCCUCACUCUUUUUCAAAGAAUCUGUUGCUAGUAUAUGGGCUAAACCAUUUGCUGAUCUCGAAGUAUAUUUGAACACAAAAUUAUUGAAUCUAGCUGUUAUCUAUUGAAUAUCAUGUAUGUACACUCCUACUUGUGAUCUGUCUUGACUUUUAAUUGACACUUCUUGAUGAUGGCUAACGAGUCUCCUUCAAUAACGAUCUUCGGCCACUGCAUUUCAAUGCCUAUUUGGACUGCUUUACGGCAUGCAAGUGCUUCAGCAGCGAAAGUGGAGGCCACCUCUUUAUGGAUUUUUAAGCAGGAUAAAAGAACGAUCCCCUUAGUGUUUCAAGCCAUAAUACCCGAGGCCAAAUUGUAGUGACGCCCAUCAUACGCACCGUCAAAAUUGAUCUUAACAAUAGAACCAGCAUUUCUGUCUCCACAAAUGGCCCAGAGCGCACAAAAAAUAUUCGACAAUGGUGGGGGGACACUGAUCAAAAACCCAGGGCAUUCGCGGAACAGAUGAUCACUUGUUUCAGCCCCUCUUCCACAUCGGGGACAGGUUGUAUUAGUGACUAGUUUCCUAUGAUGCAUGUUGACUAGUGUAGGCAGACAGUUCCAUGAUACCCUCCAGAUUGUGAUUUUUAUUUUAGUAGGAAGAUUUUAGUGCUAGAGUUUUUUGUAAAAGUUUCUAUAGUUGGUUUGUAAAGCAUAAGCUCUAGGAUUAGCACAAGAAUUUUGUAAUAGUUUAUAGGCGCUAUGAACCAAAAAUUCGCCCGGAGAGUCACCACUUCAUACAAGAAAAUCAUCGUGAGGUUCUAGUGCCAACAGGAUACGAAGUAUCUUUUUAACAUCUCCCUUUGAAAAGGUGUUAACAAUCAAUUCUCGUUUCCAUA